AUUGAACGCUGGCGGCAGGCCUAAUACAUGCAAGUAGAACGCAGUUGCGAACGGGUGAGUAACGCGUAGGUAACUGCCUGGUAGCGGGGGAUAACUAUUGGAAACGAUAGCUAAUACCGCAUACUACCAGAUGGACCUGCGUUGUGUUAGCUAGUGGGUGGGGUAACGGCCCACCAAGGCAACGAUACAUAGCCGACCUGAGAGGGUGGACGGGCAAACCGGGACUGGGACACGGCCCAGACUCCUAAGGGAGGCAGCAGUAGGGAAUCUUCGGCAAUGGACGGAAGUCUGACCGAGCAACGCCGCGUGAGUGAAGAAGGUUUUCGGAUCGGAAAGCUCUGUUGUAAGAGAAGCGGUAUCUUACCAGAAAGGGACGGCUAACUACGUGCCAGCCGCCGCGGUAAUAC
rnacentral:rRNA from 1 species